rnacentral:misc_RNA from 1 species
UCCUUGUUACCAAGGCAGUCUAGCCAGAGAAAUCCAACUGACUAUAAGGGUUGCGCUCGUUGAUGGACUUAACCAAACAUCUCACGACACGAGCUGACGACGGCCAUGCAUCACCUGUCACCUUGUUCAAUAAAGCACUCUCGUCUUUCGACAAAAUUCAAGGGAUGUCAAGCCUGGGUAAGGUUCUUCGCUUACCAUCGAAUUAAACAACACGCUCCACCGCUUGUGCGGGUCCCCGUCAAUUCCUUUAUGUUUUAAGCUUGCGCUCGUACUCCACAGGCGGGAUGCUUAACGCGUUAGCUUCGCUACUAGAAGGGUCGAUACUUCUAACAGCUAGCAUCCAUAGUUUACGGCGUGGACUAC